GCCGGGUGUGGUGGUGCACACUUGUGGUCACAACUACUCGGGAGGCUGAGGCGGGAGGAUUGCUUGAGCUUGGGAGUUCUGGGCCGUAGUGAGCUAUGCUGAUCCGCUGUCCACAGUAAUAUGAUAACCUCUGUGGACUGGAAGGACCACCCAGUUGCCUAAGGAGGACUGAACCUGCCCACGUCAGAAACAGCUGCUCAAAGCUCUCAUGCUGAUCUGUCCUGGGGUCACACCUGUGAGCAGCCACUGCACCCCAGCCUGGGCAACACAGAGAAACCUUAUCUCU
rnacentral:SRP_RNA from 1 species